rfam:Hydnomerulius pinastri MD-312 unplaced genomic scaffold scaffold_39, whole genome shotgun sequence.
GGUUCAAUGGUCUAAUGGUUAUGAUUUCUGUCUCACAUGGUGAAGCAUACAGAAGGUUCCCAGUUCGAUCCUGGGUUGAGCCA